GACGUAGGAGGCGAGCGUUAUCCGGAUUCACUGGGCGUAAAGCGCAUGUAGGCGGAUGUCUAAGUCGUGUGUUAAAGCCCCUGGCUCAACUGGGGGAGGUCAUGCGAGACUGGAUGACUUGAGGGCAACAGAGGCACGUGGAACCCCCGGUGUAGCGGUGGAAUGCGUAGAGAUCGGGAAGAACACCCGUGGCGAAGGCGGCGUGCUGGGUUGCAACUGACGCUGAGAUGCGAAAGUGUGGGGAGCAAACGGG
rnacentral:rRNA from 1 species